rnacentral:rRNA from 1 species
GACGAACGCUGGCGGCGUGCUUAACACAUGCAAGUCGAACGGAAAGGCCCUGCUCUUGUUGGGUUCUCGAUUGGCGAACGGGUGAGUAACACGUGUGUAUCCUGUCCUUGUCUUUGGGAUAACUUCACGAAACUGGGGCUAAUACCGGAUAUGAGCUCCUGCAGCGUGGUGUGGGUUGGAAAGUUUCGGCGGUUGUGGCUCGACUCGCGGGUUAUGAGCUUGUUUGUGGGGUAGUUGCGUACCAAGCGUUUGAAGGGUAGCCGGCCUGGGAGGGUUGCCAGGGACAAUAGGACUGAGAGACGGCGCAGAAUCCUACGGGAGGCAGUAGUCGGGAAUAUUGCACAGUGGGCGGACGCCUGAUGCAGCAACGCCGCGUGCGGGAUGACGGCCUUCGGGUUGUAAACCGCUUUCGCAUGUGACGAAGCGUGAGUGACGGUAAUGAGUAAAGAGGCACCGGCUAACUACGUG